GCACAACAGCAAACCACAUCCUGCUUCUUCACAGCUGGUAGUGGGUUAAAAAUGUGCUAUAGUAACUCAUAGUGUAUCCAGACGGGUCUCCUCAUCUGUUGGAGCUUGUCUCUACAAACUAUGAUACAUGU